rnacentral:misc_RNA from 1 species
ACAAACGAAUCAGACUUCGGAGAGAAAGCAUCGUUGCUAAUAAUAAGUUGAAAACUUUUAUAUGAAAGGUGAGCAAAUUUUUGUGUUUUCUCUAAAGUGACAACGCUCAGAAGCGGUAACUACCUAUUGAAUAUUAAGUGCUGCAUUCAUAACUACUUAAUAUAUAUAUAUAUAUAUAUUUUAAUAAAUAUCUACUACAUAGUUGCGUUUCUAUAUUUAUAUUAUAAAAAUAUAAAUAAACGUAUAUAUAAACAAAUAUUACAUGGAUCUAAUACUUAUUUACAAAUAUAUGACACUCGUAUAUAUCUAUAGAUAAAAUCUAUCAACGUAUAUUCUGUUUUUGUUAUUCAUUGAACUAACUAUCGAUAAAUCAUAUAUUCAACUAAUUGUAAGAAGGAUUAUAACUGUUCUAUUCAGCGUUUAGUAAAAAUUGUACUAGUAUUAAUUCAUUUAAUGAAAAACCAUAGUUUGUCUGCACAAAAAAAUUGCAACAAUACUUAAGAAAUAUGGAUUUAUACUUUUCAUUUUGUAUUAAAUAAAUAUGUUAUUGAUUAAGGAUAUUAUCGGAAGUUAUUACGAUAAAAGUGUCUAAAUUGUUUAUCUUAAAAAAGACAAUAUUGUCUACAAAGGAAUUUCAUAUAGUUAUUAAGUAUAACGGCCAUUGCGUAUAUAUUUCGUUGCUGGAUAAAAGACUGCAUAAUUUACUCGUCAUAUUGGCACAAUAAUCUACCUUCUUUCAAAUCAGCUUUUUUAGUCAUUUACUCUUCUUUCUAUUACACUAUUGGUGAAAAUCCUUCGAGAGAACCUUGACAACCAUGUCUUCCCUCCUACCAAGAGUUAUUCAAAUUAUUAAUAAACCUCCUAAUGAAAGAACUGAAGCAGAAAUUCAAGCUCUCCAACCCUGGUUCACAAAGAAGAGCCAACUUCUACAAAAAAUCAAAACAGGUUAGUAACCGCUGAACUAGUUAAAGCUGUUUAACUAUUUGCAAAAUCUCAUUUUUUUUGUAUCCCUUCUUCAGCCUCGCCCUUUUUGUAAAUUACCCCCCUCACCCUUUUCUAUCUCGUUCUCAGUCUUUUUUCUCUAUACCUGAUCAAUCGAUAGUGAAAUAAUUAACGGCAGCCGAGUCAAUAGGAUAGAGAAUUAAACUCGCGUCGUUCUGAUUGAUUUCUUUUCUUUGGUAGGCAGGUGUUAUGCCGGCUUAAAUUUGUUCUCUGGGAUUAUAAACUUAACGAAGGCAUUCUCUUUUCUUACUUUAACUUUUCAAAAGAAUGUGACAGUUAAUUAUUGAAAAUUUAAUUGUGCAUUCUUCUAUACAAGACAGAAAAAUUUGCCAAUAACGUUAAUUAUUAAGUAAUCAUCCUUUUUUCAUACAUAUAUAUAGACAUCCUCUCAGACUUGAUAAAGAAUUGCAAUCAUGCGAUUAAAAGAAAAGAUGAAGUUGUCAUUCUUCAGGGUGAAAAAGGACAUUGGUAUACAUAUUUAAUUACACAUCUUCUUUGUGUGGCUUAUGUUUAUUUUAACUCUCUUGUUUUUGCACGUAUAGCUUCUAUAUUAUUCUCAGAGGUCAGGUAUCGAUUUAUAAUAAGGAAUCAACCGAAGAAGGACAAUCCACGACAGAUAGGGAAAGCGAUCGAUCUAAAUUUGGCAACUUUUUAGUAAACUUGCAUGAUGGGAAUGCAUUUGGCGAGAUUGCCCUUAUUAAUCCGGACUGCAUUCGUACGGCUUCUGUUAUAGCUGAUGAAACAACUGAUUUAAUUGUUAUAGAUCGUCAAUUGUAUAAUAGGUCCGUUGCUAACAUUAUUAAAAGGGAAUUUGAUGAAAAAAUGAACUUUGUUGAUUCUUGUCAUUGGUUUCAAGAUUGGUCGAUCAAAUGGAAAAAGCAUUUAGCUAUGUCGUUAAAGAAAGAAGUUAUUACUUUUGGUGACACAGUUUAUAAGCAAGGCGAAGAGGCUGAUACAAUGUAUUUUAUAACUAAUGGAGAGUGUAAAGUCCACGUUGAUCCUUCCGAACAUCAAGUUCAAUUUCAUAAAAUGAUAUCAACCUUUGAUUCUAUAUCAUCUUCGGAGAAUUGUAAUAGUCUUAAACCAAUGGAUAUAGGUAAAUCUCAACCGAGUGCUCGAAGACACAGCUUCAAGUCUCAUCAAGCUGUAAAUCUCUGCUAUUUAGGACCAAAUCAGGUUUUAAGCGAUGUUGAAUUUGCACUAAACAUGGGACGCUACUACACGACUUGUACCAGUGCGAAAGAAACAUCUGUGAUGAGUUUGAGGAAAACACACUUUGAGAGGCUUUUCCGUCGCAAAAAUCCCAACACAAUCAGGCAGAUGGCGCAAGCCUCAGAAUUACAACUGGCAAGGAGAAUUUCUCAGAAAUCUAUCAAACAUAGUGUACCACUCCUAAAAGUUAUUAUUCAUGGUUUAUAUGAUCAAUUUUGCGAUGGAAAAUACAAGGCAAAAGUGACGUUUGAAAAUCACUUGUCAGCAUUGGAAAGAUCGUUAUUCCCAAAUAGCCCAGUACCGAGGGAUAAAUAUCCUCUUAGAAAAUCAUCUACUUCCUCCAAUCCUACGUAAUUACUGUGUUAUAAUCAAUUACUUUUAUUAAGUAUGUCCAGUAUAUACAUAUACUUAUCUUCUAUAUACUAAUAUAUAUACUGUUUAUGCUAUAUUUCGUAUGUAAUAUCCUAUUAAGCUAGUUCAAAAAUAAAUAAAUUAUAGUUUUCGUUCUCAAAUAUUCUUCUUUUGUUGUGUUUAUCCUCUGUUAUAAAGAGGUGACGACCUAAGUCGAUAAUCCCUUUCAUAACUUAAGUUAAAGAGCCAAAGGCCGAUUAUUAUUCCACCUAACCUGAAUAGAAAAAUUAC